rnacentral:rRNA from 1 species
GGGCCCGCACAAGCAGUGGAGCAUGUGGUUUAAUUCGAUGCAACGCGAAGAACCUUACCAGGCCUUGACAUCCUCGGAACUUUCUAGAGAUAGAUUGGUGCCUUCGGGAACCGAGUGACAGGUGCUGCAUGGCUGUCGUCAGCUCGUGUCGUGAGAUGUUGGGUUAAGUCCCGCAACGAGCGCAACCCUUGUCCCUAGUUGCCAGCAUUAAGUUGGGCACUCUAGGGAGACUGCCGGUGAUAAGCCGGAGGAAGGUGGGGAUGACGUCAAGUCCUCAUGGCCUUUAUGUCCAGGGCUACACACGUGUUACAAUGCUACGGACAAAGGGCAGCAAGUUCGCGAGGACAAGCAAAUCCCAUAAACCGUGGCUCAGUUCAGAUCGUAGGCUGCAACUCGCCUACGUG